UACGUAGGGACCGAGCGUUGUCCGGAAUCAUUGGGCGUAAAGAGCGUGUAGGCGGCUUGCUAAGUCUUGCGUGAAAUCUCGGGGCUCAACCCCGAGCGGUCGUGGGAAACUGGCAGGCUAGAGUGCGGGAGAGGAGAAUGGAAUUCCUGGUGUAGCGGUGAAAUGCGCAGAUAUCAGGAAGAACACCAAUGGCGAAGGCAGCUCUCUGGGACGGUACUGACGCUGAGACGCGAAAGCGUGGGGAGCGAACAGG
rnacentral:rRNA from 1 species